rnacentral:lncRNA from 1 species
UUUUACCUUAUUUUCUUUAAUAUUUCAUUAAUAAUUAUCUUCUUCUAUUUGGUUUACCCAUUUUCCCCUUUAAUAAAAAUCGGUUGGCGUCCAUUCUAUAAUAGGCAACCCUAUUUACAUUGUAUCUUCUCUCGUGUUCCAUGUUCGUUAUUUCAAAUUUCGGUCCAAGGUUCGUUGUCAUGUCAUUUUAAUGACAGUGACAACUCCCAUAUCUCAUUCUCAAAAUGGAGGUGGAAAUGUUUUAAAAGGCAGAGCAGCUUGAAAAAUAAAUCAUUUUAUUUCAACAAAUCAUCUUCCUCUUGGGUUUUUGGGAAUAAAGAUCACAGUCCUCCCUCCGGGAGCUUCAAGCCAUCCACACCGGUGAUGGAACUAGGGCUAUACCACAACGAGGACCAUGUCAUCACGGCUGUAACCACAUAACCAAGACUGCCACGACCAACAUCCGUAGGCCUGGUGGAAUACAACACCUACAACCCCAGAGCCCGUUGCAGAACCAGCAGCAGUA